rnacentral:rRNA from 1 species
GAUGAACGCUGGCGGCGUGCCUAAUACAUGCAAGUCGAGCGAACGGACGAGAAGCUUGCUUCUCUGAUGUUAGCGGCGGACGGGUGAGUAACACGUGGAUAACCUACCUAUAAGACUGGGAUAACUUCGGGAAACCGGAGCUAAUACCGGAUAAUAUUUUGAACCGCAUGGUUCAAAAGUGAAAGACGGUCUUGCUGUCACUUAUAGGUGGAUCCGCGCUGCAUUAGCUAGUUGGUAAGGUAACGGCUUACCAAGGCAACGAUGCAUAGCCGACCUGAGAGGGUGAUCGGCCACACUGGAACUGAGACACGGUCCAGACUCCUACGGGGGCAGCAGUAGGGAAUCUUCCGCAAUGGGCGAAAGCCUGACGGAGCAACGCCGCGUGAGUGAUGAAGGUCUUCGGAUCGUAAAACUCUGUUAUUAGGGAAGAACAUAUGUGUAAGUAACUGUGCACAUCUUGACGGUACCUAAUCAGAAAGCCACGGCUAACUACGUG